AAUUCUUCAUACUUUCUCAUGAUCGUCUCCUGUUCCUCGUUUGUAAAGUCUGCGGUCCUUCACUCUCCAGCCUGCUCUGACGCUCCAGACUGAUCCAUGUUCGCGAUUGGUCAGAUGCGGCGGGCUCCGCCUUAUAUGUGUGCACGCGCUCAUAGCAGAGCUGGAUCCACUUAUGAGGUUGAUAACCAGCGUCAUAAAACCGCUUAGCGAGACCGCUGGCUAUCACGCUAAGUUGAGCGAGGUAGCUCCAAGGCUACCUCGCUAGGUUGAACCUGCUUCGUAGAACAGGCCCCUGCUCCGGGGCAGGUUAGGUUCCAGAUUGAACUCACUGAGUAUAAAAACCCCGCCCACUGACCAAUGAGCUCUCUCGGAAAAUGGCUUGUCUGUUCUUGAAGGAUCCUGUAGUCCUUGGUGCUCACAUUGUCCGAGGAGCACUCCAGCAUGCGAGAGUUUUCAGGGACCGCACGGACCCACUUACUUUUCCGGAUGACCACCUUUAUGAAAGGCUCAUAUGGCCGACAUAUAACACAAAAAAUGUAAACACGCUAGGAAUGAACAAAUGAAUGAAUUCAUCUUGGAAAUGAAUUAGACAUGUCUGGUGCAUGUUAAAAGCGCAUGUUGAACAGUGCUAUUUCAGGGUGAUAAUGGAAUCAAAGAUUUUUUGCACACUAUACUUGCGCAUUGAGACUGUCGGCAAUUUCCCGCCAGCAUUCCUUCCAUGCUUUUGCAGCGGCGACGGUGUUGCUUUUGAGGUUUAUGAUAGAUUUGAAUUCUUCAUACUUUCUCAUGGUCGUCUCCUGCUCCUGGUUUGUAAAGUAUGCGGUCCACCGCUCUCCGGCCUGCUCUGACGCUCAAGACUAGUCCAUGUUCGCGAUUGGUCAGAUGCGGUGGGCUCCGCCUUACAUGCGUGCACGCGCUCAUAGCAAAGCUGGAUCCACUUACGAGGUUGAUAACCAGCGUCGUAAGACCGUUUAGCGAGACCGCUGGCUACCGUGCUAAGUUGAGCGAGGUAGCUCCAAGGCUACCUCGCUCGGUUGAACUUGCUUCGUAGAAUAGGCCCCAGG